GAUGAAGAACGCAGUGAAAUGCGAUAAGUAAUGUGAAUUGCAGAAUUCAGUGAAUCAUCGAAUCUUUGAACGCACCUUGCGCCCUUUGGCCAUUCCGAAGGGCAUGCCUGUUUGAGUAUCAUGAACACCUCAACUCUCAUGGCUCGCCAUGAUGAGCUUGGAUUUGGGGGUCUUGCUGGCCUGUGGUCGGCUCCUCUCAAAUGGAUCAGCUUGCCAGUGUUUGGUGGCAUCACAGGUGUGAUAACUAUCUGCGCUUGUGGUUUUCCAUCAGAUAACCUUCAGUGAUGGAGGUUCGCUGGAGCUCAUAAACGUCUCCCCUAAGCGGGGACAGCCCUUUGAAUGUUUGAUCUCAAACAGGUAGGACUACCCGCUGAACUUAAGCAUAUCAAUAAGCGGAGGA
rnacentral:misc_RNA from 1 species